AUGUCCCCAAUAUAGUGUAAUUUAAUAACUUCCAUAUAUUUUUUCAAAACCAAGCAAGCUUUCAGAGGUCUGUGUUUUGUUUUCUUUUUUAUGUAUGUUAGCUAUGUUUAAACAUAAAUAGUUACUGACAGCCAGGUAGAUUGAGAAAGAAUAUACACAUUGUCAUGUUAUUUUCAGGAUUUUCUGAUUGCAAAUUUUUAGGAUAUUAGCAUUGCAAAUGAAAGGUGCAAAUUUGCUGAACAAUCAAAUUUAGAUAUAAUUGAAAAUAUCAGCAUAAUAACCUGCUACAAUUUGCAGAGUAUAUAAAACAUUACAAUCACAUUGUCUUAUUCUCGUGAAAAUUCAGCAACCAAAAAUUAAAAUUAAACUGUAGUUAUAGUAUCCAGUUGAGAUUUUAUAAUUUUGUAGUAAAAAUAAAAAUAAUUCAACACAAAAUUAAAGGAUGCUGGAGGAAGGGAAUAAAGAAGUUAAUUAAUCAGUACAAAUAUACAGAUAGAUAGAAGAAAUAAGUUCUAAUGUUCAUUAGCAUGGUACAGUGACUAUAGUUAAUAAUAUAUUUGAUAUUUCCAUGUAAUCCAUAAAUAUGUACAAUUAUUAUCUAUCAAUAAACAUAAUUUUUAAUUAAAAAUACAGCAUAUAAUAAC
rnacentral:lncRNA from 1 species